AGGUAGUUGAGGUAAUAAUGAGACUAUAAGGAGUACCAGUACUGAGUCAAUGUGCAGGGUACCAGGUAGUUGAGGUAAUAAUGAGACUAUAAGGAGUACCAGUACUGAGUCAAUGUGCAGGGUACCAGGUAGUUGAGGUAAUAAUGAGACUAUAAGGAGUACCAGUACUGAGUCAAUGUGCAGGGUACCAGGUAGUUGAGGUAAUAAUGAGACUAUAAGGAGUACCAGUACUGAGUCAAUGUGCAGGGUACCAGGUAGUUGAGGUAAUAAUGAGACUAUAAGGAGUACCAGUACUGAGUCAAUGUGCAGGGUACCAGGUAGUUGAGGUAAUAAUGAGACUAUAAGGAGUACCAGUACUGAGUCAAUGUGCAGGGUACCAGGUAGUUGAGGUAAUAAUGAGACUAUAAGGAGUACCAGUACUGAGUCAAUGUGCAGGGUACCAGGUAGUUGAGGUAAUAAUGAGACUAUAAGGAGUACCAGUACUGAGUCAAUGUGCAGGGUACCAGGUAGUUGAGGUAAUAAUGAGACUAUAAGGAGUACCAGUACUGAGUCAAUGUGCAGGGUACCAGGUAGUUGAGGUAAUAAUGAGACUAUAAGGAGGACCAGUACUGAGUCAAUGUGCAGGGUACCAGGUAGUUGAGGUAAUAAUGAGACUAUAAGGAGUACCAGUACUGAGUCAAUGUGCAGGGUACCAGGUAGUUGAGGUAAUAAUGAGACUAUAAGGAGUACCAGUACUGAGUCAAUGUGCAGGGUACCAGGUAGUUGAGGUAAUAAUGAGACUAUAAGGAGUACCAGUACUGAGUCAAUGUGCAGGGUACCAGGUAGUUGAGGUAAUAAUGAGACUAUAAGGAGAACCAGUACUGAGUCAAUGUGCAGGGUACCAGGUAGUUGAGGUAAUAAUGAGACUAUAAGGAGAACCAGUACUGAGUCAAUGUGCAGGGUACCAGGUAGUUGAGGUAAUAAUGAGACUAUAAGGAGAACCAGUACUGAGUCAAUGUGCAGGGUACCAGGUAGUUGAGGUAAUAAUGAGACUAUAAUUGAG